GGGGCUGACGGGAGCGAGAAGGGGCGGAGCGGAAGGUGGGCGAGGCCCCUACCGGACGCGGGAGCGGCGGGACGCCCAGCCUCUCCUCCCUCCCUCUCGGGAGAGGCUGGCUCUGUAGAGAGACCAGAAAUGAGUGGAAUCUAUUUUAAACAAGCCAAAAAUCUGUUAUAACUUUUUAUUAAAUGCUGCUUAAAUGAAGAAAGAUAAACAAGUCCACAAAAUUCCAGCUGAUAAUUGCCCUGACCAAACAUUGGUGAAUAUGUACCUCAAUCCAAGUAGACCUUCCUCAACAGAGCUGGUGGAACUUCAUGUUUUUUAUGUCCCUGAAGGAUCGUGGAACUAUCAGUUAAAUACUGUUUCAAUAGAAGUUGUUAACGACUUCAUUUCAGCUGGAUUUAUAAGAGUAUCUCCUCACCUUACUUUACAAGACCUGAGGACACGUCUUGGUGAGUUCCUUGGUGAAGAUGCUCUUGCAGAAAAAUUUUUAUUUCUGAAAUGCAUUGGAAAUAAUCUGGCUGUGGUGAAGACAAAGCAGGAAUCAGAACUGAGACUCAAAUCAUUUGUUCCUCCAUAUGCUCUUCAACCAGAAUUAUAUUUGCUUCCUAUAAUGGAUCAUUUAGGAAAUAUUUUUUCAUCAGCAGCAGCAGAUUCUUUAAAUGGGCCACAGAUCAAUAAUGGUGUUGCUGAGGCUAAUGGAAAAAUCCACAUACCAGUUAGUGUAACUUUGUCAAAGGAAGAACCUGGAACAGAUCCCAGCUUUUUAGAAAACGCUUUGAAAGAAAUUCUUAACAAGAAUCAGGAAGAAGCAUCAGCUGGGGGAAAAACCACUCCAAAAAAUCAGACUACAAAAAAUCAAGAAGGAAAUUCUGAAUUGCCAGGAUCUUCAGGAGAUUCAAACAAUAAUCAUUUUAGCAAAAAAAGUUAUUAUCUUUGGAAAAAUGAAGAUGAUAGAGUUAAUGUAAUUAGAAGAGAGGAAAAUCAGAUGGUUAAAAAAGAGUACAUCCCCCUACCAAGUCUUGAUUUUUCUUCACUGCCUCAUCAGCCAGGAAUAAAUGAUAUCUCUUUAUUACAGAUUGAAAGAGAGAAGAUGACUGAACAAAUGAAACAAGUAAAAAAAGAAAGAAGAUGCCUGGAAAGAAUUAGAGAAGAGCUACUAAACAAAAUUGAAAAGCUAUUUCAACAAAGCAAAUUAAAACGAUGUCAUGGCUUUGGUGGUUGGAAGAAAAAGUACCUUGAAACAAAAAAAAUCACAGCAUCAUUAGAUGAAUCUUUAAAAAAACUUCAAGAAGAUUUGGAACUUUACUAUAAAAAAUUGCUCAUGCAACUUGAAGCCAGGGAAAUCAGGAUGAGACCCAAGAAUCUGGCAAACAUCACAGACUCUAAGAAUUAUCUUAUAAUCCAGAUCACUGAGUUACAACAUGUAAUUGACCAACUUAAGAGAAAACUGGAUACUGACAAAAUGAAACUCAUAAUAGAAGCUAAGAUGAGAAAACAAGCAGUUACAGAUGUACGCACAUUGAAAUCUUCAUUGGCACAGAAGAAAAUAGAUAUACCUGUACAGCCCCAAUUAGUUCCUGGAAUUGUGCCUAGUUAAGAGCGCAACAGAUGAUUUUGUUUAUGAUAAAUCAGCCAAGUCAAAAGGAAAUAGAGAAAAAAUGAAAAAAAUCCCUGGUAUUAUCAAUCCUUGUUCAAUGCUGCAAAAUAUGUUUUCCCACCAUGAGAGGUUCCAAGACUACCUAGAGUGUUAAGGAGCAUUGGCUGCUGCAAUACACUCUGACCAGAUCUGACUUUGUUCAUCAUAAGACAUCACAAAGAGAAAGUCACAAGCAUCUGCAAUUCCAGUAUAAUUAUAGCACCUUUUGUCUAUGCACUUUGGAGACCAAGCUACAUCAAAGGUUACCUGUGGGAAAAUACAUGCCAUUUUAAAGUAAUAUGAUCAAAUGUGCAUAUUAUAUCAAAUGUUUUAUUUUUAUAUAUUCUCUGGCAUCAUAUUAUUCAAGAAAAAAAGAACUGUUAACAUGUAUGAACACAGUUUGACAUAUGUAGAACUAGAACAGUUCUAAGAAAUAUGUUUUUUGCCUACAUGAGCUGACCCACAUAUGUAUUUGGACAAUGUUUUGGAUAUAUGCAAUGUCCAGGAGCAGGGCAUUAUGAAGAAGAGAAUUUUUUUUAAAAAGAUUUAUUUAUUUAUAUAAGAACUAGGGUACAGACCAGGGGUGCGGGAGGGUGAGGAACUUACCAGAGACAGAGUGGGGAGCAAAACAGGCAGAAGGACCGAAAACGCUGCUGAUUGGAGCAGCAGGCGAGACAGGAGAGGUCUGCUGUGCCAUGUGGGUACCUCCCUGGCCUGCCAGGAAUCGAACCUACACUACAGAGGCUGCAGAGAGCUUAACGGCGCUGCGCUCAACCUGCUGCACACCGGGAGGCCCGAGAAGAGAAAUUUUAAACUUAAAUGUCUUUAGAAACUAAACUUAAAUAUAACUCAACUGUCUGAAAGAAACAGGUAUAAUGAUAAUAGGAUGUGGUAGGGCCCUUAAAUUACUAGAAAGAAAAACAUAUUAAAAUAAUUCAAAUAUUAAGGUUCUUAAAUAUUGUGGGUUACCUCUUCAUACGCUGAUUGGUCUAUGGUGGGAGUUUGUGCCCCCAAUUUACAAUUAUGUUACAUGGUGUUUUAUGGCAAUAAGUAUAGAUUAAUCAACUCAAACUAUCGAAUAAACCACUUAAUUGGUCUUAUUUUAAGGAAAUAAAAUGGGUGGUAAAUUAUCUUUCAUUUAGCAUGAAAGUCUUCAACAAGGAUGAGUCUCUUUAAAAUAUUUAUUGCCUUAUUGCCUUAAGCACAUGAUAAUUAGCUUUAUUUUAUAUAUAUGCAAAGUGUUCUAAAGCUUUGUUAAUGUUUUAUUUAUUAAUUAGGCAUUCAAUAAACACAUGAUUAUUACAAAAA